CAGUAGCCACGGGAAUACGAUGGUCCCGAGCGUUGUUCGGAAUCACUGGGCGUAAAGGGAGCGUAGGCGGCGUGGUAAGUCAGAUGUGAAAUCCCGGGGCUCAACCCCGGAACUGCAUCCGAUACUGCCAUGCUAGAGGAUUGGAGAGGUAGCUGGAAUUCUUGGUGUAGCAGUGAAAUGCGUGGAGAUCAAGAGGAACACUCGUGGCGAAAGCGAGCUACUGGACAAUAACUGACGCUGAGGCUCGAAGGCCAGGGUAGCGAAAGGGAUUAGAUACCCCUGUAGUCCCUGUCUCUUAUAC
rnacentral:rRNA from 1 species